GACCAACUAAGUUUGUUCUGGGUAUAAGCUUUCUGCAGAAGCGUGCAUGCACAUGAAAGCUUAUACCCAGAACAAACUUAGUUGGUC